rnacentral:rRNA from 1 species
GAAAACGAGUAGAGUGGCGCACGGGUGAGUAACGCGUAGGUAAUCUACCCUUAUAUUUGGGAUAACAUUGGGAAACUGGUGCUAAUACCGGAUAGUCUUUUGGUUAUGCGAGUAAUUGGGAGUAAAGGUGGCCUCUUUUUAAAGCUACCGUAUAGGGAUGAGCCUGCGUACCAUUAGCUAGUAGGUGGGGUAACGGCCCACCUAGGCGACGAUGGUUAGCGGGUCUGAGAGGAUGAUCCGCCACACUGGAACUGGAACACGGACCAGACUCCUACGGGAGGCAGCAGUGAGGAAUAUUGCGCAAUGGGGGCAACCCUGACGCAGCGACGCCGCGUGAGUGAGGAAGGUUUUCGGAUCGUAAAGCUCUGUCAGAAGGGAAGAAGUGUUACGUAGUUAAUACCUGCGUAAUUUGACGGUACCUUCAGAGGAAGCACCGGCUAACUCCGUGCCAGCAGCCGCGGUAAUACGGAGGGUGCGAGCGUUGUUCGGAAUUACUGGGCGUAAAGGGCGCGUAGGCGGCUGGAUAAGUCAGAUGUGAAAGUCCAUGGCUCACCUGUGGAAGUGCAUUUGAAACUGUCCGGCUUGAGUAUCGGAGGGGAAAAGUGGAAUUCCCCGG